GGGUCAAUAUCAAAGCCCAAACUAAAAAUAGAAAAAUAAAAGAGAGAAAAGGAAACAAAAUUAAAGCAAAACCCUGAGAAAACCCGGCUGUAAACCAUGCUGAGCAGCGCCGGCAAUAGGGUCUUGACAUUUACAUUUCAAUUCUCCCCAUCUCUCAAAUUCUCAGCCAAAACCCACAAAGAGUUUCGACCCAGAAGCCAUAACAGCUCAAUCAUGAACUCUGCUUUUCGUUCUUCUCCAAGAGAAGCUCAAGUAAAUGAUGCCCGAUUCGGCGGCACCAUCACAUUGGAGGAAUGGCAAGGAUGGGGCUGCGUAUCUCCAGUACCACCAAUGGUAACCGAGGUCAUUCAGGAUUUGAAGCUUUUGGAGAAUAAUAUUGAUGCCCACAUGGUUUUUGGUGGUAAUGGUGGCAAAUUACAGGGAGAUUUUAAAAUUCAGGAGGACAAGAAGCACAGAGCAAAAUAUCAGGCUUUGGGUGACUCAGAAAAAAAGUUCCAGUUCUUUUCUGCUCGACAAAUAGCAUGCCGGUUGCUUGGAAGUCGGGGCUACCUCUGCCAGAAGUGUUGGCUUCCUAUGGAAGAUUGUAUGUGUUCAAACAUCAAGCCUUGCUCACUAUGGCACGGCAUCAGGUUUUGGUUGUAUAUGCAUCCAAAGGAUUUUCUACGGCAGAACAACACUGGGAAGUUGUUAUGGCAACUAUUUGGUGUUCAAGCUGCAACUUUGUGUCUUUAUGGUAUUUCUGAAGAUGAGAAAAUCAUGUGGAAUGCAUUUAAGGAUGCGGGAAAAGCCAAGGUUUGGUGCCUUUAUCCCAACCAGAAUAUAGUACCAAGGACAGUUCAGGAUGCCUUUAGCUGCCAAUCUUCAGCAGAUCUGGAAUGUACACUCUCGUCGACAACUAGAGAUAGACCUCUGAAUUUUGUUCUGAUUGAUGGUACAUGGAGCAACUCUGCAGCAAUGUUCAGGCGUCUAAAGGAGCGAGCAAAGUUAGUAUGGGGAGAGGAAGACCUUCCUUGCAUAUCUCUUGCCGCUGGUGCAUCUGCAAUGCAUAAACUCCGACCUCAACCAUCAUGGGACCGAACUUGUACGGCAGCAGCAGCUAUUGGUGUUCUUGAGGAGCUGCAGCUUCUUCCAGUGUGUAGCUCCCAUGGAUUGGAUAAACAGGCUAAAGCAGUGGAGGAUGCUUUAGUUGUUCUGCUAGAAGCACUGACAGCUCGACGCCUUCGGAUGGGCAGGUCCAUCACUCGUAAAGUAAGACACACUAGGAACAUUUGUUAACAGCUAACAUUUUUAAUGAUAUAGGUGCUGGUGAUCAUUCAAGAAGGUGACCCAGUUAUUCAGGUUUCUUGCAACGAUAACUACUAACAGAUAUAGUCAACCAUCAAGUAACAAGCUGUGCCCUAUUUGACUGCAAGGCUCUUCAUAUUGUUUUCCAAAAUUUUUAUACGGUGGUGUCUCAAUUUCAUUGUAGCCAUGCCUACGUACCAGGCUUUAUUCACAAUCUUUAGGACAUUUCUUACGGGCUUGACUGCCGAUGGCAAUAUGGAUAUUGCUCUUUUCCUAAUGGAAGAAGCAUUACUUUGCUUCUCAGAGUCGUUCCAGACAUUUACCUAUAAUCGCCUGUAACAAAAUUUUAGAAGACAAACAAAACAAUAUUUGUUGAAUCCUGCAACAAACUGAAUUACUGUAUUUUCUCAUUUAUUUUGUUGGCUUCCGGCGGAGCAUAAUUCAAUUAUACCUUGCCCGUCUUUCUCCCACAAAAGUAUUUUCUUAUAAAAGUUUUAUUAACUAAUAAUAAAAUCUUCUGAUAGAACUUAAGCUCAAAUGUUGAAAGCCUAACUAUAAAAGGUCUUGUCAUAAAAUAAGACGAACUCCUAAAUUUUUUGUCUGUAGAUGACAUUUUCACAUCUAGAUGCAUAUUUCAAAUAAUUUUUACGGCGAAUUUUCACGCAACAACAAGUUUCAUAUGCCAACCACAACAUGAGCGCGCAGCAAGUACCUAAACUUGUACGUGGUCGGAUCUGGUUUGGCCAGUCAUUCGAAAGUCUUGUUCAUAGUUUGAUCUGAUCU